AUACAUCAGCAGCUACAGGGGAUCCUAGACAAGCAAACUCAGACAGCAGACUUCCCCAGACAGAAGCUGGAAGGUUCUCCCAGUGAGCUGCUGAGAAGAGCCCUGUGUGACGGCUUCUUCAACCACAUAGCCAGGAGAUCUGCUACUGGCCGCAGCUUCCGAACCAUGGAUGGCCACGCCUCCACUGUGUUCAUCCACCCUUCCUCAGUGGUG